rnacentral:tRNA from 2 species
GCGCCUGUAGCUCAACGGAUAGAGCAGCGGCCUCCGGAGCCGUGUGUGGAGGUUCGAUUCCUCUCAGGCGCGCCA